GACGAACGCUGGCGGCGUGCUUAACACAUGCAAGUCGAGCGGAGCGGCGAACGGGUGAGUAACGCGUGAGUAACUGCCCCCCUUUCUGGGAUAACAGUUGGAAACGGAUGCUCAUACCGGAUAGUGGGGGAUGACUCGCGUCCUAUCAGCUUGUGGGUGGGGUAGUGGCCUACCAAGGGGACGACGGGUAGCCGGCCUGAGAGGGCGACCGGCCACAUUGGGCGGAGGUAGCGCCCGAAGUCCUACGGGGGGCAGGAGUGGGGAAUAGUGCACGAUGGGGGAAACCCUUAUGCAGCAACGCCGCGUGGGGGAUGACGGCCUUCGGGUUGUAAACCGCGUUCAGCCAUGACGCGGUAGUGGCAGAAGAAGCACCGGCUAACUACGUGCCAGCAGCCGCGGUAAUUC
rnacentral:rRNA from 1 species